UACGAAGGGGGCUAGCGUUGCUCGGAAUUACUGGGCGUAAAGGGCGCGUAGGCGGCACUGUUAGUCAGGCGUGAAAGUCCUGGGCUCAACCUGGGAACUGCGCUUGAUACGGCAGAGCUAGAGGAUGGAAGAGGGUCGCGGAAUUCCCCAGUGUAGAGGUGAAAUUCGUAGAUAUUCGCAAGAACACCAGUGGCGAAGGCGGCUCACUGGCCCGGUACUGACGCUGAGGUGCGAAAGCGUGGGG
rnacentral:rRNA from 1 species